rnacentral:rRNA from 1 species
GACGAACGCUGGCGGCGUGCUUAACACAUGCAAGUCGAACGGAAAGGCCCUGCUUGCAGGGUACUCGAGUGGCGAACUGGUGAGUAACACGUGUGUGAUCUGCCCUUCACUUCGGGAUAAGCCUGUGAAACUGGGUCUAAUUCCGGAUAGGAGCCAUUUUUAGUGUGAUGGUUGGAAAGUUUUUUCGGUGUAGGAUGAGCUCGCGGCCUAUCAGCUUGUUGGUGGGGUAAUGGCCUACCAAGGCGGCGACGGGUAGCCGGCCUGAGAGGGUGGACGGCCACAUUGAGACUGAGAUACGGCCCAGACUCCUACGGGAGGCAGCAGUGGGGAAUAUUGCACAAUGGGAGCAAGCCUGAUGCAGCGACGCCGCGUGGGGGAUGACGGCCUUCGGGUUGUAAACUCAUUUCGCUAGGGACGAAGCUUUUUGUGACGGUACCUAGAUAAGAAGCACCGGCUAACUACGUG